AUUGAACGCUGGCGGCAGGCCUAACACAUGCAAGUCGAACGAGUGGCGGACGGGUGAGCAAUGUCUGGGAAACCGCCCGAUGGAGGGGGAUAACUACUGGAAAUGGUAGCUAAUACCGCAUACUAUCGGAUGCGCCCAGAUGGGAUUAGCUAGUAGGUGGGGGAACGGCUCACCUAGGCGACGAUCCCUAGCUGGUCUGAGAGGAUGACCAGCCACACGGGAACUGAGACACAGUCCAGACUCCUGCGGGAGGCAGCAGUGGAGAAUAUUGCACAAUGGACGCAAGCCUGAUGCAGCCAUGCCGCGUGUAUGAAGAAGGCCUUAGGGUUGUAAAGUACUUUCAGCGGGGAGGCGUUACUCGCAGAAGAAGCACCGGCUAACUCCGUGCCAGCAGCCGCGGUAAUAC
rnacentral:rRNA from 1 species